rnacentral:rRNA from 1 species
UACGUAGGGUGCAAGCGUUAAUCGGAAUUACUGGGCGUAAAGCGUGCGCAGGCGGUUAUGUAAGACAGAUGUGAAAUGCCCGGGCUUAACCUGGGAACUGCAUUUGUGACUGCAUGGCUAGAGUGUGUCAGAGGGGGGUAGAAUUCCACGUGUAGCAGUGAAAUGCGUAGAUAUGUGGAGGAAUACCGAUGGCGGAGGCAGCCCCCUGGGAUAACACUGACGCUCAUGCACGAAAGCGUGGGGAGCAAACAGG